GGGUCAGUAGGUUGGUCGUGCCACCGGUACGUACUGGUCUCACUGAUUCCUCCUUCCUGAAGAACCGUAAUGCCAUUAAUUGGGUGUUGCGGGGAAACAGGACUGUUACUUUGAAAAAAUUAGAGUGUUUAAAGCAAGCUAACGCUUGAAUACAUUAGCAUGGAAUAAUGAAAUAGGACGAUCGAUCCUAUUUUGUCGGUUUCUAGGAUUGACGUA
rnacentral:rRNA from 1 species